UUCACUGGGCUACAAGCUCAUUAAUGGAGGGGAUGUGACUUAUUUACGUUCUGCCAUCAAUGACUGCCAUAAAGUAGGUACCAAUUAUGGUUUCUUGAAUUGUACAACUUUUCAUUUAAGACUUUCAUCCUCAAACACUAACUAGCAAAGACACUGAUACAAUGGUCAGGGAUAUACCUUAGUGUCAAAAAAGAGAGAUGGUGGUUAGGAACAAAUUUUAUACGAGGUCAUUUCCUUAGCAUAUUUAAUGUCAUGUUGCCUUUUGCUUCUCCAUCCAACUGUAAGAAAUUGGAUAAUAAAUGUUUGGACUACAAGAACCUACUGGUAUUAUUUAAUUACCAGGCUCCUUAAUAGUGCAGCUUUGACUUAUUCAUCUUCUACUUCCAAUUGAAGCCUCUGCUGAGAAUGCCCCCACUCCGCCAUGAUUCUCCGCCUCCCCCACCCCCCUCCUGCAGCCCGCCAAGCCACAGCUUCUAACUGCAGUUUGGCCCGACCACACUGCAGCCAUAACCACAGUUUGAAUUUGGUGCCAGACUCCUGCGCAUGCGCGAACCAAGGCUUUGGCACAUGCGCAGGACCUGAACAACUGCGUCCUCAGUCUGUCCUUGGACCUGAACAUCACCAACAUAAUUCAACAUCCGGACCUCCAAAUGUGGACAUGGGAGGGCUAGGGGCGGAGAGUUCCGGCUACCAAACCCAACCCUCAGAUGCCACUGGAAAUAAAAAGCUUCCCAACCCCCUCAGACAGGGAGCACACGGCCUUUUGGUCACUAGACCCUGUGUUGCUCCUUGUCUGCGCAGACAAUAAAUUUCUACUUUCUGUUUCCCUUGCAACUGGUGGUGUGAUGUCCGUCUCAUUUCAGUCAGCUAAGAAGAUAGGACAAGAACCCUUGUUUGGUUACAGAUUUUGGCGACUCUGGUGGGACUUGCGGACUCCGAAACCUGGGCAGUGAGCAUCCAGACCCCCACGACCCCUUAAGGCACCCCCCGAACCCCGUUUGGUCAGUAAGAAGUUUCGGGUGGUCACCAUGAUCCCUGCCCCAGGACGAGGUGCGCCAGGUCCCCACCUCAGCUCAGAAAUAGAAACUGGGAACUGGAUGGGAAAGGCCUCUGAAUUAUGGCUGUCAAUCUGUCUUAAGCACCCUCCUCACCCCGGAAGAAAAGAAGAUGGUCCUACACAAGGCUGGAGAAGAAGCCCAGAGGCGACAUGACGCUUGACGGACCAGAGAUGCAGUCAAUGACAUCUUCCCCCUUCAAGACCCCACUGGGACCACAAUCCCACAGUAGAAUAUGGUAGGCUCACCCGAUACAGGGACUGUCUUUUAGUGGGCCUUAGAUGUGGAGUGCCUAAGCUCUUAGAUUAGAACAAAGUAUUUGAAAUUAACCAGUGUAAAGAUGAGGACCCUGCAACCUUCCUCGAAAGAGUUAUAGAGCCUUUAGACAAUAUACUGAUCAAGAUCCAAAGGACCCAACAAAUGCUCACAUGGUCAGUAAUAUUUUUACAAGACAGUGUGCCCCGGAUAUGGGGAAUCAACUUCACAAAAUAGAGGGAGGAGUAACUAUGCGUAUCGAACACCUAGUAGAAUUGGCAUUCAAGGUCUGUAACAACAGGGAGGAAGACAAAGGCAGGAAGUGCCAGGAUGCCCUAUCAGCAACAGCAGCAACAGUACAGAAACGGUAUAGGCCCCCUAGGAGGAAAAGGCCCACGGACCCUAGCGAGGCCCAGCCCUGACCCCCACUGGGAGAGAACCAGUAUGUAUAUUGUAAGCAAGAGGGCCAUUGACAAAGAGAGUGUCCUGACACAGAGUGAGUACCGAGUAACUCAAUACCACACCUCUCUAGCCUCUAGUCAGUAAUUCCAGCAUAUCAGUUCAAUCUGUUGCCACCAGCCACCCCUCUUCCCACUCUGUCCCUGGGAAACUCCAUCUACCAUGACUGUGUCCGGAUGGUGGGCCUGGUCCAUACCAGAUGUCCAGACCCACAAAGUCAACCUCUAAGAGAUGCCAGUAUAGAGAUCUUCAGAGGUGAGAGUAGCUUCAUCGAGGCUGGCCAAAGGAGAGUGGGCUAUACACUUGUCAGCCACACCGAGGUCCUCGAGGCAAACACUCUCCCAAAUAGAACCUCAGCCCAAAAAGCUGAGCUGGUUGCAGUGAUCCAGGCCUUGUGGCUGGCCAAGUCCAAGUGAGUGACCAUUUAUAUAUAUUCGGAGUGCAUGCUAUCAGUUUUACAUGUAUAUGAGACUUUGUGGAAGCAAAGAGAGCUUUUAAAUUGGGUUAGUAAAGAAAUCAAACACAGCCAACAGAUUUUACAACUCCUUGAGGCGGUGUCUCUCCCCGCCGCUCUGGCUGUAGUACACUGCAAAAGACACCAAAGGGCUGACUUAUAGGCCAAGCAAGCAGCAAGAAUGGUGACCCCGGUAGUAGUGACUGAUUCUAGCUUGCCGUAAGCUACAGAAGAUCUUUAUAGUUACAAAAAUAGGGGCUGGACAGGGAAAAAACUGAUAAGGCUUAGAGCAAUAAAAGGGUAGAGAACAAGAAGAAUGAAGAGAAAACAAAAAUGUGAGAAGGAAGUAGAAAGGUAGAGAAGAAAGGGAGGGAUGGCCCCAGGCUGGACUGUCCUGGGCUUCCAGGAAAAACCUAAAUGUAAAUUUAUUGAUUUAUUCUGCUACUAGAUCGUUUUUUUUUUUUAGAUCAGGUUUUAGAGUCAUGUGAAUGGCUGGCUCUGCACCACUUGUCACUCUGUAUGGUCCCUCUCAAUAUUAAGAACUACUACUUAAAAAAAGAGAGACAACAAAGAUCUUCUGGGCAGCGUUAGAAGAGAGUAAGCACCAGGAAUAUGUUCCAGAAAAAGAUUGCAAGAAAAAGGUAAACUGGACAAUUGAAGCCCGCAAGGCCAAACCUUGCAAGAAGACCUAAUUAGCAUGGACUAAGACCCUUCCCUUGGCUCUGUUCAGGACUAGGGUUGCACCUCAAACCAAACUUAAGGGGUGCUUGACUCUCUUUAUAGGCACAUGAUGUGACAGACUCUUCCACAACCUGAAGUCUCUCUCUCCAUGUCAAGACCUGGAGCACUACAGACCCGGCAAGAGAACAAACCCCCAGCACUACAAUCAAGAUUGCCAAAAAGAGAGAUUGGAUCCACCACUCUCGCAUCGAGCCAGCUGCUACUCACAAUACCGACCAACAAGCCCUGCAGAACAGUUAGAAUUGUCAAGACAGUAAUAAAUAAAAAAGUCAGGCUUCAGACGAUUUAAAAUGAUAGACAAUUGUGCCAGCUGACUGUCAUCCCCUGGCAAUUGUGCAGGUUGUUAUUCAUGACUCUGUUCAAGUUUGCCACCUAUAUGCAGCCUUAUAUCCUGUGUCUCUCCAGAAGAAAAACAGGGCCCCCUGAAUGGCAGGAUAAUUAUCUCAUAAACACCUCAAAUGCUCUCCACUUAAAAGAUCACUGGGUCUG